AGGACGAACGCUGGCGGCGUGCUUAACACAUGCAAGUCGAGCGGUAAGGCCUUUCGGGGUACACGAGCGGCGAACGGGUGAGUAACACGUGGGUGAUCUGCCCUGCACUUCGGGAUAAGCCUGGGAAACUGGGUCUAAUACCGGAUAUGACCUCCUAUCGCAUGGUGGGUGGUGGAAAAGUAUUUUAGUCGGUGCAGGGAUGGGGCCCGCGGACCUAUCCAGCUUUGGUUGGUAGGGGUAAUGGCCUAACCGAAGGCGACGACGGGUAGCCGACCUGAGAGGGUGACCGGCCACACUGGGACUGAGACACGGCCCAGACUCCGUAGGGAGGCAGCAGGUGGGAAUAUGCAACGA
rnacentral:rRNA from 1 species